UGUUUCCUCCACGUUUCACCGAAAAGGCAUGCACUCGAGCGCUUAAAUAUAGUUCGGAGGGAACUUGCAAAGACAAAGAGGCGCGAAACUCGUCCCUCGAAAAGAGCUCUCCAUAUUUAGAAACUUCUCGGUUCUCGCCGGCGCGGUUUCUCUCCGUCUCUCCGGAUAUCUCAUCGGCAAACUCUCAGAAAUCCGUUGACGACUACUUCGGAUUCUUAUGAUUCAAGUCGGAUCAUUCACAGGGAACGGGGAUUGGGAUUCUCUAUGGGAUGGGGAUGAGGAUGAGGAGUGCCCGCGGCUCGGCCCAACCUUGUUGCCAACCUUGACACUGUUACAGUGGGAGUACUCUAUGACGGGACUUUUUUUAGCUAUUUCUACCUAUCCGGUGAAAUAGCUUUUUCGGCUUUGGGGGGCACACUUGACCCUAUAUCAUUUAUGAGGUACCUAUUGCUUUAGCGUUUUCAUUUUGAUCAUAUCUGGAUUCAAGUCUUCACUAUAACCUUUUUGCGGUAAGUUAAUAAUUAUGCUGGGUUGGGUACCUUCGAUAAUUGACAUUGAUUUUGCAUUUCCUUCUCUUUCGGUGAUUGAUGCAAUUUUCAACUUUUGACCAUACAAAUACCGAGCAAGUA